ACCUGGGUGGCUCAGUCGGUUGAGCGUCUGACUUCCACUCGGGUCAUGAUCUCACAACUCUGUGGGUUCGAGCCCCGCAUCAGGCU
rfam:Felis catus isolate Cinnamon breed Abyssinian chromosome A1, whole genome shotgun sequence.